rnacentral:rRNA from 1 species
AACAUCGCYUCUUGAUUAAAUAUAAGAGGUCCAGCCUGCCCAGUGACAAAGUUUAACGGCCGCGGUAUUCUGACCGCGCGAAGGUAGCAUAAUCACUUGUUCUUUAAAUGAGGACUAGUAUCAACGGCACCACGAGAACUGCACUGUCUCCCCUCUCCAAUCAGUGAAACUGAUCUCCCCGUGAAGAAGCGGGGAUGCAAUUAUAAGACGAGAAGACCCCAUGGAGCUUUAAACCUUACAGCAACUCUGCCGCACAGUCCUACAUAUCCACCAGAGUCGUGCAUGUUAGUUUUAGGUUGGGGUGACCGCGGAGUAAAAUCUAUCCUCCACAACAAAAAGAACUAAGCCUUUAUCCGAGAGAUACCUCUCUAAGAAUUAGCAUACUAAUGUACAAUGACCCGAUAAUCGAUCAACGGACCAAGUUACCCUGGGGAUAACAGCGCAAUCUACUUCAAGAGCCCAUAUCGACAAGUAGGCUUACGACCUCGAUGUUGGAUCAGGGUCUCCCAGUGGCGCAGCCGCUACUAAAGGUUCGUUUGUUCAACGAUUAAAACCCU